UAGCCAGAUUUUACAAAAGCCAUUCAAUUCUGAAGUAAAUGUUUAACUCUUCAGUUUCCUGCUAUCUGGUUUGUGGAUAGCCCAGACCUCAUGUUUUCCUUCAGCCUCUCCACCUUUAGCUCCUCCUACCACCCAGUGUGUCUUUGAGCAGGGGUUCCCAACCCCCGGGGCACGGAACAGUACCCGGUCCAUGGCCUGUUAGCAGCCAGGCCGCACAGCAGGAGGUGAGUGGCAGGCCAGCAAGCAUAACCGCCUGAGCUCCGCCUCCUGCGAGAUCCACAGCAGCAUGAGAUUCUCACAGGAGCUCAAACCCUGUUGUGAACUGCACAUGUGAGGGAUCUAGGCUCCUUAUGAGAAUCUAAUGCCUGAUGAUCUGUCACUGUCUCCCAUCACCCUCAGAUGGGACUGUCUAGUUGCAGGAAAACAAGCUCAGAGCUCCCACUGAUUCUACAUUAUGUCAUGGAGAUCUCAGUUGCGACCUCGCAUUGUCAGCCCCUGGUUACGGCGUGCUGAAAGCGGGCUUCAGCCAGACAUUGUCCUCAGCAGCUCUGAGUGCACUGUGUCUUUUGUCCUUAGGAUGCAAAGAAGAUGCCGCUCUCCAUGCUCUGCAGGUGAGGACCCCCAGGCUCAGAAUUUGACUUGAACUCAGGCUGUAAAAAUCGCCUAGACUCUGGACUGCUUCUCAUGCUGGUGACUGCAUCCGAGCUUUUCCAUCACUGCUCUGCGUUUUCUCUAAAAUCCAGUCCAUGUACUCAGCGACUUUGGUGUAGACACCAGGUUGCUCCCUGCGGGCACAGCCUUCACCCCAGCUGGUGAUGCCCACCAAACGCCACAUUCCGUUGUGUUUGCAAACUAAGGGACCACCUGAAUCUCCCUGAGCCACAGUGGAAAAAUAAAAUAGUAGAAAGUUA